GAUGAACGCUGGCGGCGUGCCUAAUACAUACAAGUCGAGCGAACAGAUGAGGAGCUUGCUCCUCUGACGUUAGCGGCGGACGGGUGAGUAACACGUGGAUAACCUCCCUAUAAGACUGGGAUAACUUCGGGAAACCGGAGCUAAUACCGGAUAAUAUAUUGAACCGCAUGGUUCAAUAGUGAAAGACGGUUUUGCUGUCACUAAUAGUUGGAUCCGCGCCGCAUUAGCUAGUUGGUAAGGUAACGGCUUACCAAGGCAACGAUGCGUAGCCGACCUGAGAGGGUGAUCGGCCACACUGGAACUGAGACACGGUCCAGACUCCUACGGGAGGCAGCAGUAGGGAAUCUUCCGCAAUGGGCGAAAGCCUGACGGAGCAACGCCGCGUGAGUGAUGAAGGUCUUCGGAUCGUAAAACUCUGUUAUUAGGGAAGAACAAAUGUGUAAGUAACUAUGCACGUCUUGACGGUACCUAAUCAGAAAGCCACGGCUAACUACGUG
rnacentral:rRNA from 1 species